rnacentral:tRNA from 1 species
ACCCCUGUAGCUCAGUGGCAGAGCUGUUAUAAGUGGUGAGCGAAAGCGCCUAGCAAUAACUACGAGGAGGUCGCAUGUUCGAAUCGUGCCCAGUGGUU